CAGCCGCCGCGGUAAUACGUAGGUGGCAAGCGUUGUCCGGAAUUAUUGGGCGUAAAGGGCUCGCAGGCGGUUUCUUAAGUCUGAUGUGAAAGCCCCCGGCUCAACCGGGGAGGGUCAUUGGAAACUGGGAAACUUGAGUGCAGAAGAGGUGAGUGGAAUUCCACGUGUAGCGGUGAAAUGCGUAGAGAUGUGGAGGAACACCAGUGGCGAAGGCGACUCUCUGGUCUGUAACUGACGCUGAGGAGCGAAAGCGUGGGGAGCGAACAGGAUUAGAGACCCCUGUAGUCCCUGUCUCUUAUAC
rnacentral:rRNA from 1 species